GUCUGCAGCCAUACACCCUGAAUGUUUCUGAUCUUGUCUGAUCUUGGAAGCUAAGCAGGGCCUGACGGUAAGUAUUUGGAUGGAAGACCAAAAACCCAUACAAAGAACAGGUA
rnacentral:rRNA from 1 species